AUCAAUAAGCGGAGGAAAAGAAACCAACAGGGAUUGCCCUAGUAACGGCGAGUGAAGCGGCAACAGCUCAAAUUUGAAAUCUGGCUCUUUCAGAGUCCGAGUUGUAAUUUGCAGAGGGCGCUUUGGCUUUGGCAGCGGUCCAAGUUCCUUGGAACAGGACGUCACAGAGGGUGAGAAUCCCGUACGUGGUCGCUAGCUAUUGCCGUGUAAAGCCCCUUCGACGAGUCGAGUUGUUUGGGAAUGCAGCUCUAAAUGGGAGGUAAAUUUCUUCUAAAGCUAAAUAUUGGCCAGAGACCGAUAGCGCACAAGUAGAGUGAUCGAAAGAUGAAAAGCACUUUGGAAAGAGAGUCAAACAGCACGUGAAAUUGUUGAAAGGGAAGCGCUUGCAGCCAGACUUGCUUGCAGUUGCUCAUCCGGGCUUUUGCCCGGUGCACUCUUCUGUAGGCAGGCCAGCAUCAGUUUGGGCGGUGGGAUAAAGGUCUCUGACACGUUCCUUCCUUCGGGUUGGCCAUAUAGGGGAGACGACAUACCACCAGCCUGGACUGAGGUCCGCGCAUCUGCUAGGAUGCUGGCGUAAUGGCUGUAAGCGGCCCGUCUUGAAC
rnacentral:rRNA from 1 species